GUGCAGGAUAUAAUCUCGUGGUGGGUGGUUUUUUAAGCCAGUCCGAAAAGCGCAAUAUUCGGGUGGGAGUGACCCGAUUUUCCAGGUGCCGUCUGUCACCCCUUUCUUUGACUGGGAAAGGGAACUCCCUGACCCUUUGCGCUUCCCAAGUGAGGCAAUGCCUCGCCCUGCUUCGGCUGGCGCACAGUGCACGCACCCACUGACCCGCGCCCACUGUCUGGCACUCCCUAGUGAGAUGAACCCGGUACCUCAGAUGGAAAUGCAGAAAUCACCCGUCUUCUGCGUCGCUCACGCUGGGAGCUGUAGACCGGAGCUGUUCCUAUUCGGCCAUCUUGGCUCCUCCGGCCCUAAACAGCCAUGUCUGAGAUAUUAGUACCAGCCACCUGAUGUCCAGCUCCUCUGAGAUGUAGGUUCUGCUUCAAGGGGCCCCUCCCCAGAGUUUCAGAGGUACCAGCACCCGCUGGACAGCAUCUCUCCUUAGAGACUGUGGGUCCCAGCACAUGGAGACCUGCCUCCAAGCUUCUACAGCCUCAUGAGCAAUCUUUUCCCUUUGUUCCAUUAGUCCUACAGGUGAAGGCUGCCUGUUGAAAUCACUGCUCUGUGUUAUCUCAGUGUAUUUUUUUUUUGUUUGCCUUUGUACUCCUCCAGUACUUGUUUAACCAAUUUUCUAUGUUAAAUUUUCUCUAUUAAAAUAUCUGGUGUAAUUACGCUUUUC
rnacentral:lncRNA from 10 species